UACGUAGGGGGCUAGCGUUGUCCGGAAUCAUUGGGCGUAAAGCGCGUGUAGGCGGUCCGGUAAGUCCGCUGUGAAAGUCGGGGGCUCAACCCUCGGAUGCCGGUGGAUACUGUCGGGCUUGAGUACGGAAGAGGCGAGUGGAAUUCCUGGUGUAGCGGUGAAAUGCGUAGAUAUCGGGAGGAACACCAGUGGCGAAGGCGGCUACCUGGGCCAGUUCUGACGCUGAGGCGCGAAAGCGUGGGGAGCAAACAGG
rnacentral:rRNA from 1 species